rnacentral:other from 1 species
GGCAACCUGAAAUGUUCGAUAAUCCUGUAUAUUUAGAACCUACAUUUACUUUAAACGGGACGCUUAUUAUUACUUGUUAGAUGUCAAGCCUCCGAUUUGCAGUGGAAGGCAGAAGGCAAGUUGCGGUGACCCACCUAGCUUUAGCUAGGAGUCUAAAUUGCGGGAACCGGCAUUUUGGGCCCUUU